AAUGAGCGUGUUAAACCCCACCGAUCGAACAUGAGGUAUUACAGCAUGAACUUUACGUUUAGAUCCCGUAAAUCGUAUCGAUAAGGAUACAGCAUAAUAAUAAAUCGAGCGAUUUGUGUGUUAGUGGUUUUUUUUCGUGCAUAAAACGACUUUGGCGAAGGACUGCGACAAAAAAUUCGGAAUUCGGAAAUACCAUAAUAUAUUGCGAUGUUUAGUCGUAUAUGUACAACACACGACUUUCGUGUGUGUUACCUAUAGGUACUACCACAUUAUUGAUAUUAAAAUAGCCAGACAAUUGUAUACAACGCCGUGAGAAUAGGACGAAUAUAUCCAUCAAAACGGCAAUAAUAGAUCAUAUUUUCAAAAACUUAAAUUUUAUACCAUUUAAGAAGAGUCCUUGAUAUUGUGUACCAGCUCGUUGUCAUCCUCGAUGAAGAAAGUAGGACGUGUUUAAAAGAAUUAUACUCAAAGAUGAUAUUUAAAUGGUUUAAAGAUACGUUUAUUAAAUACGUAAACUACAAAUUAGGUGCUAUAACUUAUUAAUUACUGCUAAUCAAAAACUUAUUACAUGCAUUUUUUGUAUAAUGAAGAUAGGUUCUGCCCGAUUGCGUCUUUCUUAGCGACUAACCUACCGGCCAUGUCAAAGAGGUCUUUCUGUUCAAACUGCCAAAGUGGGAAUUGCUGGAUCAGCAUAUUCCCGCCUGAGAGUCCGGUCCCGUAGUCACGUACGCCAGUUUAUGUAUCAUGUUAGAACAAUGUGCCAUAAUAUAACUGUAUACAACGCUUACACUAAACAGUCUCAGAUGAUAAGGAUUUGCUUUUUCCAAAAGAGAUCACCCUUUUUCCUGUAAAUCGUUAACCAGAUGACUUUUUGGAGAUGUAUCUAACUUGAAAUCCAAACAAGUAAUGUUUGAGUUAUUAAACUGUGUGUACUAAGGAUAACAGCCCCAUGAUAACCUGUAUAUUGGAGGCUACAAUGAUCCGAAAAUUGAAGUAAUUACUAAUUAUACUUAUAUUCAUAUUAUUAUAUAUUACAGUUAUUUAAUUUGUAAAAUUGUAUAAGUCUAAUAAGUAAUAAUACAAAUCUUAGUAAUAUAUGCUAUCAUUCAAUGUCAUGCCAUUUAUUAUGUAUUUGGUACCAAACUUCCUCUUAUUUAAUACCAAUUUUAUGUUAAUUAAUAUAAAAUACAAUAAAUUUAAAAAUUUAAUUCAAGUUGGCAUUUGAAAAGACGUUAAAAUUAUACACUAUGACGGGUGUGAUAAUAAUUAUUAAUCUUGGUAGGUAGCCUAAAAACUUAUAUUUAAUGUAACUUGAUUCAUUAUAAUCUGUAUAAAAAUAAACUUUAUACAUAUCUUGACUUGUGGUCUUAAAGUAUUUAGGAAUUCAUAAUAUCAAUAAAUUAUUGUUUCAUUUUUACUUUUUUUAUUUAGUAUUAUUUUCAUUUUUUUAUUUUUCACAGUCAAAAUAAACUUAUUUAUAUGUAUUAUUUAAUAGAUUGUUAUUCGUAUAUAAUAUAUACUAUUACACAGUAUAACAGUCGCGUAUUAUUUAUCUAUGGAUAAGUCCAACACUGGAUGUAUUGAUUAUGUACCUAAGUCAAAUUCUAGAAUAAAGUAAAUAUUAUAUUAGGUAUCAAAG